GAUGAACGCUGGCGGCGUGCCUAACACAUGCAAGUCGAACGGAGUCCAGCCUUUAAGACCUUCGGGUCAAAGAGGGGAAGACUGAGUGGCGGACGGGUGAGUAACACGUGGGCAACCUGGCUCAUAGAGGGGGAUAACAGAGAGAAAUUUCUGCUAAUACCGCAUAAGCACACACUGCCGCAUGGCAGAGGGUGAAAAGAGAAUCGCUAUGAGAUGGACCCGCGUCUGAUUAGCCAGUUGGCAGGGUAAGAGCCUACCAAAGCGACGAUCAGUAGCCGAUCUGAGAGGAUGAACGGCCACAUUGGGACUGAGACACGGCCCAAACUCCUACGGGAGGCAGCAGUGGGGGAUAUUGCACAAUGGGGGGAACCCUGAUGCAGCGACGCCGCGUGAGUGAAGAAGUAUUUCGGUAUGUAAAGCUCUAUCAGCAGGGAAGAUAAUGACAGUACCUGAAUAUGAAGCCCCGGCUAACUACGUG
rnacentral:rRNA from 1 species